rnacentral:rRNA from 1 species
AUUGAACGCUGGCGGCAGGCUUAACACAUGCAAGUCGAGCGGAGAGAGGUAGCUUGCUACUGAUCUUAGCGGCGGACGGGUGAGUAAUGCUUAGGAAUCUGCCUAUUAGUGGGGGACAACAUUUCGAAAGGAAUGCUAAUACCGCAUACGUCCUACGGGAGAAAGCAGGGGAUCUUCGGACCUUGCGCUAAUAGAUGAGCCUAAGUCGGAUUAGCUAGUUGGUGGGGUAAAGGCCUACCAAGGCGACGAUCUGUAGCGGGUCUGAGAGGAUGAGCCGCCACACUGGGACUGAAACACGGCCCAGACUCCUACGGGAGGCAGCAGUGGGGAAUAUUGGACAAUGGGCGCAAGCCUGAUCCAGCCAUGCCGCGUGUGUGGAGAAGGCCUUAUGGUUGUAAAGCACUUUAAGCGAGGAGGAGGCUACUUUAGAUAAUACCUAGAGAUAGUGGACGUUACUCGCAGAAUAAGCACCGGCUAACUCUGUGCCAGCCGCCGCCGUAAAAC